UUUGCGCGGGGAAGAGCUUGCGUACCAUUAACUAGUUGGGAGGGUAAGGGCCUACCAAGGCGACCAUGGGUUCGGGUCCGAGAAGAUGAUCCCCCACACUGGAACUGGAACACGGACCAAACUCCUACUGGAGGGAGCCCUGAGGAAUAUUGCUCAAUGGGGGCGACCCUGACGCAUCGACACCUCGCGGAUAAUGAAAGCCUCCCGGUUGUAUAAUCCCGCCCAUGGAAAAAAUGGGUAGGGGGUUAACAGCCCUGUUAUUUGACGGUGGCGGUCUAGGAAUCCCCGCUA
rnacentral:rRNA from 1 species